GCUGGACCAGCGGCGCUGGUUACACCGUCUCUCCUGCGGUGCGGUACAGGAGAGAAUGUAAACAAAACGGCACAACAACAAUGUGCAACCCUGGUAAAAUACCGUCGCGUUUGUAAAGACACCCGCGGAACCGGGAAGGCGAGAAAGGUGAUUCUCCAGUGUUAGCUGUGAUCCGAUGUAUACGACCUCCAAGAUGUGGCCGGGUAAAAUUCGCUCGUCACCGGGAUGGCCUUUAUCGGAUUGUUCGAGAAUCGAGAUAUUGUGUGUGGCUGUGUGUGGAGUGUGGCUGCUUGUUGCUCUUCCGGAAGCAUCAACUAUCAGCAGCAAGAACAACAGCAGUGAUCUGGAAGAAGAUGGCCGACCAUCGAUAUCGUUUACGGAGCAUCUGGCAUUAAUCGUGACCCUACCGCGAAAUCAGUGGCAAACGAAAUCGAUAGCCUGAACUCAAGAAGUAUUCGCGCCACAACCACAAACCACAACAACAGUAAAGAAACAACAACAGUGGAUCCGGCAGAAUUCUUUACUCAGAACAGCGUUUUUUGUAAGGAAUUUCUGUAAUUAUCUCUUCAGGAUCAAUUUUGAUGAUCAGGACCAACACAAAAUGAAAGAUGGUCAACGGACGGCAGGAUAGCCUGUUCUGCAACAUAUCGGAACAUCAGCAAUACGAUGGAAGAGAAGAAUUGGUUUGCUGUCCGAAGCCUUUCCGGUUCAAUAUGAUAUAAAGAGGAGUUUCGAUAUCCAGGAUGAUGAGCAGAUGCUGACCAACACUGACAAGAAAAACUGAUUUACAGAGAACUAGCAUCGUUAGUAAUUCAAAGAAAAAUUAUAUAGAAGCACGAUAUAUGCAUGUUUGUGAUGAAUAGAAAGAAGAAUUUUAAGAUUCAAAAAUUCUAUUGAAGGAUAUCAAUUCUCGUUGCUUUCGGUAUGAUGAAUGCCAAAAUAUUUAAGGCUUCAUAACCUCACUUAAAAAUUUGAAUUGAUUUUAAAAUUUAUAGAGAAACGAUUUCAUAUUUAUGACUGAUACGGUGUACAAAAAAUGUACAAAUAAAAAAAUUUAUAUCUUUAAAUACUUUUAAUUCAGAAUAGCCUCUCUAAGUUGUUACUUCCAGUUUAUUUUUAUGUAAAGGCAUUAAUACUAAAAAAUUAAGGCAGAUGAAUAUUAGUUUGAUAAGUACAUCUUAAUUCUUAGAAGUCACUUCAACUAUUAUAAUCAUCAACAAAACAAAAAAUAAAUGGUAAGACACGCAAAACUUGGUUAUAUUAAGGAACUCUAAAUGUGAGUUUACCAAGUUUCAAAAACCAGUUGUGAUACAAUAGAACAUCAUCUAAAUGAACGCAAACUUUAUUAGUUUAUAGUAAUUGCUGUAGAUCUAAACGAUUGACUCCAUUCUAAACAAUCUUACCUUUAUGUGUGAUUUGAUAGUUUUUUUUUUCAAUGAAUAUGUAAAUGACACAAAAAAUACACUUUUUGAACGGGCUCAAUGCCGAAAAAAAAGGCUCCUUGAUUUUAUUGAGCUUCUUUGAACAUCUUUGAAAAUAAAAUCCCAAGAAUUUUAUGUCAUCAAAAAGUUGUGUCUUCAAUUUUAUGUUCCCGAAAAUUUAUGUCUU